rnacentral:rRNA from 1 species
AUCUGAGACGUAGUUCAUCCUUAUCGGAUUGAAUGGGCUGCUAACAGGUUCCUGGAAAUAGCCCUCCUUUAAGAUCGUACCCUAAACCGACACAGGUGGACUGGUAGAGAAUACCAAGGCGCUUGAGAGAACCACAUUUAAGGAACUCGGCAAAAUACCUCCGUAAGUUCGCGAGAAGGAGGCCCGUUCAGAACGCAAGUUUUGGGCGGGGGCACAAACCAGGGGGUGGCGACUGUUUACUAAAAACACAGGGCUCUGCGAAGUCGUAAGACGACGUAUAGGGUCUGACGCCUGCCCGGUGCCUGAAGGUUAAAAGGAGGAGUGCAAGCUCCGAAUUGAAGCCCAGGUAAACGGCGGCCGUAACUAUAACGGUCCUAAGGUAGCGAAAUUCCUUGUCGGGUAAGUUCCGACCUGCACGAAUGGCGUAACGACUUCCCCGCUGUCUCCAGCAUCGACUCAGUGAAAUUGAAUUCCCCGUGAAGAUGCGGGGUUCCUGCGGUUAGACGGAAAGACCCCGUGCACCUUUACUAUAGCUUUGCAGUGGCAUUAGUGACGGCAUGUGUAGGAUAGGUGGUAGGCUUUGAAGUCCGGGCGCCAGCUCGGAUGGAGCCGUCCUUGAAAUACCACCCUUACCUUUACUGAUGUCUAACCGCGGUCCGUUAUCCGGAUCCGGGACCCUGCAUGGUGGGUAGUUUGACUGGGGCGGUCGCCUCCUAAAGAGUAACGGAGGCGCGCGAUGGUAGGCUCAGGCUGGUCGGAAAUCAGCUGUCGAGUGCAAUGGCAUAAGCCUGCCUGACUGCGAGACGUACAUGUCGAGCAGAGACGAAAGUCGGUCAUAGUGAUCCGGUGGUUCCACGUGGAAGGGCCAUCGCUCAACGGAUAAAAGGUACGCCGGGGAUAACAGGCUGAUCUCCCCCAAGAGUCCAUAUCGACGGGGAGGUUUGGCACCUCGAUGUCGGCUCAUCACAUCC